GACGAACGCUGGCGGCGUGCCUAAUACAUGCAAGUCGAACGCUGAAGGAGGAGCUUGCUUCUCUGGAUGAGUUGCGAACGGGUGAGUAACGCGUAGGUAACCUGCCUGGUAGCGGGGGAUAACUAUUGGAAACGAUAGCUAAUACCGCAUAAGAUUGACUAUUGCAUGAUAGUCAGUUAAAAGGUGCAAUUGCAUCACUACCAGAUGGACCUGCGUUGUAUUAGCUAGUUGGUGGGGUAACGGCUCACCAAGGCGACGAUACAUAGCCGACCUGAGAGGGGGAUCGGCCACACUGGGACUGAGACACGGCCCAGACUCCUACGGGAGGCAGCAGUAGGGAAUCUUCGGCAAUGGACGGAAGUCUGACCGAGCAACGCCGCGUGAGUGAAGAAGGUUUUCGGAUCGUAAAGCUCUGUUGUAAGAGAAGAACGAGUGUGAGAGUGGAAAGUUCACACUGUGACGGUAUCUUACCAGAAAGGGACGGCUAACUACGUG
rnacentral:rRNA from 1 species